rnacentral:misc_RNA from 1 species
AAGUCGUAACAAGGUUUCCGUAGGUGAACCUGCGGAAGGAUCAUUAUUGAUACACUAAAUUUGUGAAUAAAUUCAACAAACUUUAAUUAUAUAAUCAAAAAUUAAAAAUCAAAACUUUUAACAAUGGAUCUCUUGGUUCUC